rnacentral:rRNA from 1 species
AUGAGUAGGGAUCUUAUGACAACAUGGCACAUUUAUUCAACGGACGUUGAUGGUGCCAGAGAGGAAAUACUUCGAAUUCUUGAAAGAGGGAGCUACGUAAAGACCAUCUAUUUUCAUGGUUGGGAUGGAUUCGGGGCGUCCCCUGUUCUUAGAUCCAUAGCAGAAAUGCUCCAAUGUAGUGGGACCACUCCAGAACUAUGCUUUGACAAAUUAAUUUACAUAGAUUGCUCUGAGUGGAAAAAUAGAAGAGCAGUGCAGAGGGCAAUUGCAGAGGAACUGGACCUUGACUGCUCUGUAAUGGCCAUUCUAGAUGAGCAAGAUGAAGAGGACGAUUGUAACGGAGUUGAUGAAAGUUCGAGAGAUGAUAUAGACAAUGUCGGGCAAGUGAUUGCUCAAGCACUGAUGGACACCAAAUUGAUGAUGAUUUUUCUUAAUGGAAGUGAUGAAGAGAUUGACCUAAGCACCUUUGGCAUUCCUCAUUUUGGAAGAUAUGGCAACAACAUGAUGAUAUGGACCUUCAGCAGAAGUUGGCUGACCAUGGACCAUGACCUUGAACAGGCAGUAGACAAGCUAAGAUAUACUCAUAAUUUUGUUUAUGUCUAUAAAGGAAUCAGAGAAUUGCCAGGUUCAAAGUUCUAUGGACUGCUACAACAACAAGGUGCUGCCAUAGUUGCUCGUGCUGCAUGUAUGAUGGACAUCGAUCUAGCAGUUGUUGCAAAUUGUUGUCUAUAUGAGUUAUUCUUGCGUUAUAAUUUCCACAAUGCCACUAAAAGAAAGUUUGAUUGGGCCGCUCAUGCUUCCAACUACUGGAUGUCCGAUGGGAUCAUAGAAGGAGAUAAAGCAAGGGAUAUUAGUAAUGCAUUGCAUCGAGAGAUAAAUUGGGAGUGUGAUGCUACUUUGGUUGAUAAUGUGCUUAAAAAGUUCAUGGAAGAUUCAGAGCCUCCUUUUCUGGUACUUAAAGAUGAAGAAAUCUACAAAGAAGGGUCAUACCGUUGGAUUUCAGUCACAUCUAAAAAUAUAGAAAUAAGUGGAAUGCAAACUAUACCUGCACCGACCUCAUCUUUCUUCUUGGCAUUUGAAUGCUCUGACUGCCCACCAAGUUUACCAAAUGGCUUCUUUGAACAUUCCAGCAAGCUUGGCGUGCUAGUUCUCCGUUGUUGUGCCUUCAAUUUUGCAUCACCUCCUUUCCUAAUAUGCCAUAGCAUAAGAUUCCUUGGACUGGACCACUGUACAGAUGAUAAAAAAUGUGAAGGAAAGGAUCAUAUAGAGUGGACAUAUUUAUGCAACAUAUCAGUGUUGGACCUACGUUACACAGAUUGGAAUGAGAUCUUAUCUGAAGAAAAGAUGGAUAUCAUGACUAAUAUCAGAGAGCUGAAUAUAGAAGGAGUCAGAGGUUGGCAGUAUAUGUCUAACCUACAACAUCGGCUGCCUAACCUCCAGAGGCUUCGGAUAACAAAACCAACAUGUCAAUGGAUAAUAUCAAAGGAUUUUGAUAACUCCUUUAUAGAUAAGACAAGCAUGGAAAUACUUGACUUGUCAGGCAACAGUGACAUGAAAUCUCUUCCAGCAAGCCUAUCAAUGGCAAGUAGCCUUGGAUUACUUGUACUAGAUGGUUGCUAUGGGUUGGAAAAUGUUGGCAGCCUUCCUUCAUCCCUCGAAUCCUUUAGCUUUAAUGGACAUGGGCCAGCUUCUCAAUGGACACAAGAUGUUGAGCUACCUCUGAAACAAUUCCGUCCGUCGACCACAUCAGAAUAUAAGGAUAUCAGAAUCUCAAAGAUCUCUCUAGAAGGUUGCACACAAUUGAAGAAUUUGUUUUUGUGUGGGCUACCCAACCUCCUGGAGUUGGACCUCUCUGGAACUGCGAUCAAGGUACUUGACUUCAAGACUAUGGUAGUGCAAGUCCCAAGGCUCAAGCGAUUGUUUCUAAUAGGAUGCAAGCAUCUUCGUGCAAUAAUUUCGGUGCGCGAGAUUGAUUCUGAUAUAAAACCUGACCUGGAGUUGGUGUGCAUAGACACACGAGUUGGAAUCGUGUGUCCCCAGCCAUCCAUCAACAAGAAGAAACCCCGCCAGUUACAGGUGCAUGUUGUUGCUAGGGAUGCGAGGCUUACUCGCUCUUUGAAGGAUCUGUUGGGGCGUUGUGACAGUUGGUCGAGGAGGGUGACAAAUAUGAAGUAUCUUUGUUACAAUAUCCAUGUCACCUCCUCGCCUAUGUACGGUGGAGGUACUCAAUUUGAAGCAGACAGCAAGAACAAGAUUGGUCCUGAUGAUCAAGAGAGCUUGCAGAACCUUAUUCGAGCAGGCCCAUAUAGUGAUGUCCUCAGCAUUGUUGGAGAUCCCCCGAUGCAGGCUUUCCCCCAACCUCCGAGUACACAGCUGGACCAGCAUGUAGAGAUUGCUAAAGGAAGCUGCUAUGUGGAGAGUGAACUGAAAAGAGGAUUACGUGAAUUGGUUGGAUGUGCUAAAUCCCUGCAUGUGCACGACGUCGACGUAUCAAUACGUGCUGUUGUUUCAAAUCAAGGUUAUUCGUGUGGGUACCUUAAGUGGUGCCGUGUGGAGAGGUGCCUGAAGUUGGAUACCGUCUUCCAAGCGGCUACUUAUGAUUUUGGUCGUCUGGAGACCUUUUGGGCGUCAGAUCUCUUAAUGGCCCGUUGGAUUUGGAGUAGACCUUUUAACCGUAAUUACACCCGCUACAUCUCCUUUGAAAAUCUACAACACCUACACCUGCGCUCCUGUCCCAGCCUGCAGUUCGUGCUUCCGGUGUGGGUCUCCUCCUUCCCGAGCUUGAAGACCCUCCACAUGAUCCACUGCGGUGACCUCGUGCACGUCUUCAUGCUGAACAUAGAAUACCCAGAGGAAAUAACCAUCCAUGGUGUACUAUUCCCGAAGCUGACUGCCAUCCAUCUACACGACCUCCCAAAGCUGCAACAGAUAUGCGAGGUCAAGAUGAUGGCACCCGCGCUCGAGACCAUCAAGAUCAGGGGAUGCUGGAGCCUGCGUAGGCUGCCAUCCGUGGGCUCCCGUGGUCAAGGUGAGAAGAAGCUGGCUGUCGAGAUCGAGAAGGAUGUGUGGGACGCUCUGAAGUGGGACGCCGGCCACUGCCCCGACCACUUCGAAGCGCCGGUCCACUCGCGUUACUACAAGGAGAAGCUGCCUAGGGUCUCCGUCCUCAGGUAUAUCAUUUAUUUGCAUAUUGGUGAAUCCAUCCAUUAUUAUUUUAGUUCAGCAAAACUAGACAAGCAGCUGCAACCCCCGCGUCGUCCUCCUCCUAGGGCGACUCGGGCGGCCAGAAACCUAGCCGCCGCCGCCGCAAACUCCCUCCUCCUCUCCCUCCACCGCCGCCGAAAGACGCCGCCGUGCUAA